ACCAGGUCUCUCUGUACCAGGUCUCUCUGUACCAGAGAGACCUGGUACAGAGAGACCUGGUACAGAGAGACCUGGUACCAGAGAGACCUGGUACAGAGACCUGGUACAGAGAGACCUGGUACCAGAGACCU